GAUGAACGCUAGCGGCAGGCUUAACACAUGCAAGUCGAGGGGCAGCAUAAUGGAUAGCACUCUCUAUGGUGGCGACCGGCGCACGGGUGCGUAACGCGUAUGCAACCUACCUUUAACAGGGGGAUAACACUGAGAAAUUGGUACUAAUACCCCAUAAUAUCAUAGAAGGCAUCUUUUAUGGUUGAAAAUUCCGAUGGUUAGAGAUGGGCAUGCGUUGUAUUAGCUAGUUGGUGGGGUAACGGCUCACCAAGGCGACGAUACAUAGGGGGACUGAGAGGUUAACCCCCCACACUGGUACUGAGACACGGACCAGACUCCUACGGGAGGCAGCAGUGAGGAAUAUUGGUCAAUGGACGCAAGUCUGAACCAGCCAUGCCGCGUGCAGGAUGACGGCUCUAUGAGUUGUAAACUGCUUUUGGACGAGGGUAAACGCAGAUACGUGUAUCUGUCUGAAAGUAUCGUACGAAUAAGGAUCGGCUAACUCCGUG
rnacentral:rRNA from 1 species